rnacentral:rRNA from 1 species
GGUUAAGCGACUAAGCGUACACGGUGGAUGCCCUGGCAGUCAGAGGCGAUGAAGGACGUGCUAAUCUGCGAAAAGCGUCGGUAAGGUGAUAUGAACCGUUACAGCCGGCGAUGUCCGAAUGGGGAAACCCAGUGCAAUUCGUUGCACUAUCGUUAACUGAAUACAUAGGUUAACGAGGCGAACCGGGGGAACUGAAACAUCUAAGUACCCCGAGGAAAAGAAAUCAACCGAGAUUCCCCCAGUAGCGGCGAGCGAACGGGGAGCAGCCCAGAGUCUGAAUCAGCUUGUGUGUUAGUGGAACGGUCUGGAAAGUCCGACGGUACAGGGUGAUAGUCCCGUACACCAAAAUGCACAGGCUGUGAACUCGAAGAGUAGGGCGGGACACGUGGUAUCCUGUCUGAAUAUGGGGGGACCAUCCUCCAAGGCUAAAUACUCCUGACUGACCGAUAGUGAACCAGUACCGUGAGGGAAAGGCGAAAAGAACCCCGGCGAGGGGAGUGAAAAAGAACCUGAAACCGUGUACGUACAAGCAGUGGGAGCACCUUCGGGUGUGACUGCGUACCUUUUGUAUAAUGGGUCAGCGACUUAUAUUCUGUAGCAAGGUUAACCGUAUAGGGGAGCCGCAGGGAAACCGAGUCUUAACUGGGCGUUAAGUUGCAGGGUAUAGACCCGAAACCCGGUGAUCUAGCCAUGGGCAGGUUGAAGGUUGGGUAACACUAACUGGAGGACCGAACCGACUAAUGUUGAAAAAUUAGCGGAUGACUUGUGGCUGGGGGUGAAAGGCCAAUCAAACCGGGAGAUAGCUGGUUCUCCCCGAAAGCUAUUUAGGUAGCGCCUCGUGAAUUCAUCUUCGGGGGUAGAGCACUGUUUCGGCUAGGGGGUCAUCCCGACUUACCAACCCGAUGCAAACUACGAAUACCGAAGAAUGUUAUCACGGGAGACACACGGCGGGUGCUAACGUCCGUCGUGAAGAGGGAAACAACCCAGACCGCCAGCUAAGGUCCCAAAGUCACAGUUAAGUGGGAAACGAUGUGGGAAGGCACAGACAGCCAGGAUGUUGGCUUAGAAGCAGCCAUCAUUUAAAGAAAGCGUAAUAGCUCACUGGUCGAGUCGGCCUGCGCGGAAGAUGUAACGGGGCUAAACUGUGCACCGAAGCUGCGGCAGCGACACUAUGUGUUGUUGGGUAGGGGAGCGUUCUGUAAGCCUGCGAAGGUGGCCUGUGAGGGUUGCUGGAGGUAUCAGAAGUGCGAAUGCUGACAUAAGUAACGAUAAUGCGGGUGAAAAGCCCGCACGCCGGAAGACCAAGGGUUCCUGUCCAACGUUAAUCGGGGCAGGGUGAGUCGACCCCUAAGGCGAGGCCGAAAGGCGUAGUCGAUGGGAAACAGGUUAAUAUUCCUGUACUUGGUGUUACUGCGAAGGGGGGACGGAGAAGGCUAUGUUAGCCGGGCGACGGUUGUCCCGGUUUAAGCAUGUAGGCGGAGGUUCCAGGUAAAUCCGGUACCUUAUUAACGCUGAGGUGUGAUGACGAGGCACUACGGUGCUGAAGUAACAAAUGCCCUGCUUCCAGGAAAAGCCUCUAAGCAUCAGGUAACAUUGAAUCGUACCCCAAACCGACACAGGUGGUCAGGUAGAGAAUACCAAGGCGCUUGAGAGAACUCGGGUGAAGGAACUAGGCAAAAUGGUGCCGUAACUUCGGGAGAAGGCACGCUGAUAUGUAGGUGAAGCCCCUGCGGGUGGAGCUGAAAUCAGUCGAAGAUACCAGCUGGCUGCAACUGUUUAUUAAAAACACAGCACUGUGCAAACACGAAAGUGGACGUAUACGGUGUGACGCCUGCCCGGUGCCGGAAGGUUAAUUGAUGGGGUUAUCCGUAAGGAGAAGCUCUUGAUCGAAGCCCCGGUAAACGGCGGCCGUAACUAUAACGGUCCUAAGGUAGCGAAAUUCCUUGUCGGGUAAGUUCCGACCUGCACGAAUGGCGUAAUGAUGGCCAGGCUGUCUCCACCCGAGACUCAGUGAAAUUGAACUCGCUGUGAAGAUGCAGUGUACCCGCGGCAAGACGGAAAGACCCCGUGAACCUUUACUAUAGCUUGACACUGAACAUUGAGCCUUGAUGUGUAGGAUAGGUGGGAGGCUUUGAAGCGUGGACGCCAGUCUGCGUGGAGCCAACCUUGAAAUACCACCCUUUAAUGUUUGAUGUUCUAACGUUGGCCCCUGACCGGGGUUGCGGACAGUGUCUGGUGGGUAGUUUGACUGGGGCGGUCUCCUCCCAAAGAGUAACGGAGGAGCACGAAGGUUAGCUAAUCCUGGUCGGACAUCAGGAGGUUAGUGCAAUGGCAUAAGCUAGCUUGACUGCGAGCGUGACGGCGCGAGCAGGUGCGAAAGCAGGUCAUAGUGAUCCGGUGGUUCUGAAUGGAAGGGCCAUCGCUCAACGGAUAAAAGGUACUCCGGGGAUAACAGGCUGAUACCGCCCAAGAGUUCAUAUCGACGGCGGUGUUUGGCACCUCGAUGUCGGCUCAUCACAUCCUGGGGCUGAAGUAGGUCCCCAAGGGUAUGGCUGUUCGCCAUUUAAAGUGGUACGCGAGCUGGGUUUAGAACGUCGUGAGACAGUUCGGUCCCUAUCUGCCGUGGGCGCUGGAGAAUUGAGGGGGGCUGCUCCUAGUACGAGAGGACCGGAGUGGACGCAUCACUGGUGUUCGGGUUGUCAUGCCAAUGGCAUUGCCCGGUAGCUAAAUGCGGAAGAGAUAAGUGCUGAAAGCAUCUAAGCACGAAACUUGCCCCGAGAUGAGUUCUCCCUGAGACUUUAAGUCUCCUGAAGGAACGUUAAAGACGAUGACGUUGAUAGGUCGGGUGUGUAAGCGUAGCGAUACGUUGAGCUAACCGAUACUAAUGAACCGUGAGGCUUAACCUUACAACGCCGAAGGUGUUUUG